UUCCACAUUCCUCUUUCCUCUUCCCCUUACCCUUUUUCCGUAGUUUUGUAUUUGGUUUAUUUUCUGUGUCUCCUCAGAUUAAUCAAAAUUUCAACAACUUCAACCGAGGGGCGGCGUUGGAGUCCAUCUACCAUCUUCGAUUUAGAAGGUGGUGGGCACUGGUCAGGCAUUGAGAUUCACUAGAGUUUUGCAGCCGGCGAUACCACCCAUGCCCAUGCCUUUCACUUUCACUUUCACUUUCACUUUCAUUCAUCCAACACUGCGCUUGCACCAUCCCCGAUCUCAAACUACAACCUAUGCUUCUCUCUCACUCUACUCUAACCCUACACUUUUCUGAUUCUGCGCUGUUAAGAAACCCUUUCGAUCCCAUGCCCAAAUUUUCCAUACACCAAUUAAACCCCCUCACAAUCUCUCUUCACAAGCCGGCGCGCCUUUCUCCUUUCUUUUAUUUUUCCUCUCUCCCUCUUUCUUCCAACUCAACUCCGGAUGCCCAAAAUGAGCUCUCCAUAUCACCUCAAAUAUUCAAAUCCCGCCCUCAAUUCGGUUCCUAUAAACUGGGGGAUGCUACAUUUUAUCGUUUGAUUGAGAACUAUGCAACUUCUCGGGAAUUCCAUUUCAUACACCAAGUUUUGGAUAGAAUGAAACGUGAAGGGCGGGUCCUUACGGAAACUAUUUUUAUCCUAAUUUUCAAGGCUUGCGGGAAAGCUCAUUUACCUGGGGAAGCUGUGAAUUUUUUUCACAGAAUGGCCAACGACCUUCAUUGUAAGCAGACUGUAAAGUCAUUCAAUUCAGUUCUUAACGUAAUUAUUCAAGAGGGGGACUUUUCAUACGCAUUCAAGUUUUAUUUGCACGUUUUCGGUGCCAAUAGCAAAGGCUUUCAGCCCAACCUACUUACUUACAAUUUGAUUAUUAAGGCACUGUGCAAGUUAGGGCAGAUAGAUAGAGCUGUUGACACUUUUAGAGAAAUGCCACUGAAGAACUGCAAUCCCGACGUCUUCACUUAUAGUACAUUAAUGAAUGGGUUAUGUAAGGAAAGAAGGGUAGACGAGGCAGUGUUUUUGCUGGAUGAGAUGCAAGCAGAAGGCUGCCUUCCAAAUCCCGUGACAUUUAAUGUGUUGAUUGAUGCACUAAGCAAGAAUGGUGACUUGAGUCGAGCAGCAAAGCUUGUGGAUAAUAUGUUUCUCAAAGGUUGUGUUCCAAACGAAGUGACUUAUAAUACCCUUAUCCAUGGUUUGUGCUUGAAAGGAAAGUUGGACAAAGCUCUUAGUCUUUUGGAGAAAAUGGUGUCGAGUAAAUGUGUUCCUAAUCAAGUCACAUAUGGAACAAUCAUUAAUGGUCUUGUUAAACAAAGAAGGGCCGAGGAUGGAGUACACAUUUUGAUGUCUAUGGAAGAGAGAGGACAAAAGGCAAAUGAGUACAUUUACUCGUCUCUCAUCAGUGGUUUAUUUAAGGAGGGCAAGUCUGAAAAUGCCGUGAGGCUGUGGAAAGAAAUGGCAGAGAAGGGAUGCAAACCCAACGUUGUUGUUUAUGGUGCCUUUAUAGAUGGUCUAUGUCGAGAUGAAAAGCCAGAUGAAGCCGAAGACAUUUUGCAGGAAAUGUUAAGUAAAGGUUUUUUACCAAAUGCUUUCACUUACAGUUCCUUGAUGAAGGGUUUUUUUAAAAAAGGCGACAGCCAAAAAGCAAUCCUUGUAUGGAAAGAGAUGAUGAGUCAGGAUAUGAGGCACAAUGUAGUUUGUUGUAGUGUCUUACUUAAUGGCCUAUGUGAGAGUGGAAGACUAAGGGAGGCGUUGACAGUGUGGACGCACAUGCUCGGUGAGGGACUUAAGCCUGAUGUCGUGGCUUAUAGUUCAAUGAUUAAAGGUCUUUGUGAUGUCGGCUCUGUAGACAAGGGCUUGAAGCUUUUCUAUGAGAUGCAAUGUCAGGAGCCCAAGUCCCGACCAGAUGUGGUCACCUAUAAUAUACUUUUCAAUGCCCUCUGUAGGCAGGAUAAUCUCACCCGUGCCAUUGAUCUUCUAAAUAGUAUGCUCGAUGAAGGCUGUGACCCUGACUCAUUGACAUGCAAUAUCUUUUUAGAAACUUUGAGGGAGAGGAUUAAUCCACCACAAGAUGGAAGGCUGUUUUUAGAUGAGCUCGUGGUAAGGUUACUUAAGCGAGAGAGAAAACUAUCUGCUUUGAGAAUUGUAGAGGAAAUGCUCCUAAGAUUUCUGCCACCGGAGCCAUCAACUUGGUCCAGAGUCAUUCAAAGAACAUGCAAACCAAAAAGGAUUCGAGAAACCAUAGACGAGUGUUGCAGAAGUCUGUAUGGAUAAUGACAGACUGGACAUUACAAGCAAGCAUACUAUUUCUUGAACAUGCAUCAUGGAGCUACCUGGGUUUUAAGGGGGUUGGAGACUGGGAGAAGAAAAUUUUGGUGAACCGAAGUAAAAUUACCAGAAUAUAGUGAUAACGGUACUUUUAUAUUGAUCAUCAGAUAUUGUUCUUGGGGCUUCUACUAGUAUGAGGAGGUGGAAGAAAAUAAUGUCUGAUCGUGAUUGAAAGAGUUGUUGUGGAUUCAGCAAGGAGUUGGUUUCAGAAGUUCCAAAAUAGAGUGAAGGGAACUGUAUGUGACAAUGAGGUUCAGGAUGUACCUUCAAUUGCGAUGAAGCAGAAAGUUGAGGUUGCCCAGCAAUAUAUUGAAAAUCAUUACAAAUCUCCAAUGAAGUCAUUGCAAGAUAGGAAGGAGAGAUGUUGGGUGUUGGAGAGGAGGCUUGCUGAUGCGGAUGUUUAUGAGGAAAACCAAAUAAAUGUCGGUUAAAUAUUUAGAACCAUAAGGAGACAGAAUACAUGUGCCUUCGUAGGCAUAAAAUGGGCGCUGAUGACUUCGAACUUUUAACAAUUAUAGGAAGGGGUUAGACUUGUAGAGAUAAAUCACAGGUCACGUGUAUGCAAUGAAGAAGCUUAAGAAAUCUGAGAUGCUUCAGAGUGGGCAGGUAUUUCUAAAACCUUGGCCCUACAUUGUUGCUAUGAUGGAUUGACUUAAUAUCACAUAUUUUAGUUGAUGGUUAUCCACCCUUCUAAAUUUCAAAUCGGCUUGUGUAUAGUAUGUCUAGUAUGGGAUGUGAAAUUGGUGAAGAAGAACUUAUUAUUUUGUUAAAUGAAGGAUUGGAAAUUAGAUCCUAUUGUAGAAUACUUUUGUAACGUCUUGAGUUUAGAAUGAGACAUGAAUGAAUCGAUCACAUUGGAAUGAGAGGAAUUUUGAGAACAUAAAAGUAAGGUUAAUAGAGACUUUUAUGUAUUUGUAUGUUCGUAAAAUAAAGAUAAUAUUUUAUGUA